rnacentral:rRNA from 1 species
UAGUCCGCACGAGCGCACCCUCAUUUUUAGUUGCCUUAUGGAACUCUGGAAAGACUGCCGGUUAUAAACCGGAGGAAGGCGGGGAUGACGUCAAGUCAGCAUGCCCCUUACACCCUGGGCUACACACGUGCUACAAUGGGUGAGACAAUGAGAUGCAACUCUGCGAAGACAAGCUAAUCUAUAAACUCACUCUAAGUUCGGAUUGUAGGCUGCAACUCGCCUGCAUGAAGUUGGAAUCGCUAGUAAUCGCUGGUCAGCAUACAGCGGUGAAUUCGUUCCCGGGCCUU